rnacentral:rRNA from 1 species
AGCGAACGCUGGCGGCAGGCCUAACACAUGCAAGUCGAACGAACCUUUCGGGGUUAGUGGCGGACGGGUGAGUAACCCGUGGGAACGUUCCUUUAGGUUCGACAUAACUCAGGGACACUUGUGCUAAUACCGAAUGUGCCCUUCGGGGGAAAGAUUAAUCGCCUUUAGAGCGGCCCGCGUCUGAUUAGCUAGUUGUUUGAGGUAAUGGCUCACCAAGGCGACGAUCAGUAGCUGGUCUGAGAGGAUGAUCAGCCACAUUGGGACUGAGACACGGCCCAAACUCCUACGGGAGGCAGCAGUGGGGAAUCUUGCGCAAUGGGCGAAAGCCUGACGCAGCCAUGCCGCGUGAAUGAUGUAGGUCUUAGGAUUGUAAAAUUCUUUCAACGGGGACGAUAAUGACGGUACCCGGAGAAGAAGCCCCGGCUAACUUCGUG